GCCUGUGUGGCUUAGUUGGUUAAGUGACUGACUUCAGCUCAGGUCAUGAUCUUGCGGUUCGUGGGUUCGAGCCCCGCCAUGGGAU
rnacentral:tRNA from 1 species